UUUAGAUGCAGAAGCAUGAAAUAUGGAGUUAAAAGGAAAUAGACGAAAUUGAGGAAAUCUACGAUACAGGUGGAAAUAGCGAGAAGAAAUGGAAGUAAAGGGUUCACUUGCAGAUUGCAUAAUAAGAACACUGCUUGUUUCGACAGUUUUUCAUUGCAUCAAAAGAUAAAGAUCGAAAAUACGAAUAAGCAAACAAAACCAAAGAAUAAUCAACUUUCUGAAAACACUGCUUGAAAGUUGGCGAGGCAAUUUAUCAUUGCAUUAAAAAAUGCGACAAUGCCAAAGGUCUGGCAUUGCAUCACCAAGUGAGCUGGGAGCCUAUCCAAAGAGGCAAGUUUCCUCACUUAUGGAAAUGGAAUCUUGACGACAUUCUCUGUGCACAGAAAAAAAAUAAAAGUUUUAAAUACAUCAAGUAUUCAAAUAUAAAUGUGAGUUUCAUCAAAGAUAACUAAGAUUGGCUCAUGAAAGAAAUGCAUUGAACAACACUUAAGUGAAAAAGACUUUUAAUA